rnacentral:rRNA from 1 species
ACGGAGGAUGCAAGCGUUAUCCGGAUUUAUUAGGUUUAAAGGGUGCGUAGGCGGAGACUUAAGUCAGUGGUAAAAGGCAAUAGCUUAACUAAAGUAAGCCAUUGAUACUGGUUAUCUUGAGUUCGGUUAAGGUAGGCGGAAUGUGUUGUGUAGCGGUGAAAUGCUUAGAUAUUACACAGAACACCGAUUGCGUAGGCAGCUUACUGUGCCGUCACUGACGCUGAUGCACGAAAGCGUGGGGAUCGAACAG